rnacentral:rRNA from 1 species
AAAGCAUCUAAGUACGAAGCCAGCCACAAGAUUAGAUUUCUUAGGGUCGUUGUAGACUACAACGUUGAUAGGAUGCAGGUGUAAAGGCAGCGAUGUCAUAGCCGAGCAUUACUAAUUGCCCGUUCACUUUUUGCCU